rnacentral:misc_RNA from 1 species
CAAUAAGUGUUCAAUGGCACUUUAAAUCCAUUACCCACCUUGUGUGCAUUGUAAGGAGGGGAGCAGAACGGUUUGCGCUACACACGUAUAGUGUGCUGCGCCGCCACCCUGCCUCUUUCAUUAUAUAUACUAUUAUCUUCUUUCUCGUCUACUUCAUUGAGUAUAAAACUCUAAUA